UACGGAGGGUGCCAGCGUUGUCCGGAUUCAUUGGGUUUAAAGGGUGCGCAGGCGGGCACUUAAGUCGGGGGUGAAAGACGGUUGCUCAACAAUCGCAGUGCCUUCGAUACUGGGUGCCUUGGGUGAAGUCGAGGCGGAUGGAAUGCAAGGUGUAGCGGUGAAAUGCGCAGAUAUCAGGAAGAACACCUAUGGCGAAGGCAGCUCUCUGGGACGGUACUGACGCUGAGACGCGAAAGCGUGGGGAGCGAACAGG
rnacentral:rRNA from 1 species